rnacentral:rRNA from 1 species
GAUGAACGCUGGCGGCGUGCCUAAUACAUGCAAGUAGAACGCUGAAGGAGGAGCUUGCUCUUCUGGAUGAGUUGCGAACGGGUGAGUAACGCGUAGGUAACCUGCCUGGUAGCAGGGGAUAACUAUUGGAAACGAUAGCUAAUACCGCAUGACAACAGUUAUUGCAUGAUAACUGUUUAAAAGGGGCAACUGCUCCACUACCAGAUGGACCUGCGUUGUAUUAGCUAGUUGGUGAGGUAACGGCUCACCAAGGCGACGAUACAUAGCCGACCUGAGAGGGUGAUCGGCCACACUGGGACUGAGACACGGCCCAGACUCCUACGGGAGGCAGCAGUAGGGAAUCUUCGGCAAUGGACGGAAGUCUGACCGAGCAACGCCGCGUGAGUGAAGAAGGUUUUCGGAUCGUAAAGCUCUGUUGUAAGAGAAGAACGAGUGUGAGAGUGGAAAGUUCACACUGUGACGGUAUCUUACCAGAAAGGGACGGCUAACUACGUG